rnacentral:lncRNA from 1 species
ACCCAUCAAGAUUGUAAGACAGUGUUGUGGGACCAGUCAAAAUUGAACAUCAUAACUAUAUAGUGAUACCACUCUAUAUGAGUUAUUUUCUCUAACAGCCCUGGAGAGGUCUCAGGAUAGGACAAAACCAGACAAAUAAUUGCAGUGACCCCGUGUUGGGAUUUUUUUUUUUAAAAUAUAUGUACUAUUUAAUCAUAUUUGCAGAAGAAUAGUUGAAGAUCAUAGAAAAUAGUCCAACUAAGGAAAAGAAGAAAGACAGAGAUAAGGAUUGAAUGGAGAUUAAUGACCGAAGUCAAAGGAUUAGAGGCUGAAGAACAGUGUGAGUAUCCAAAUUAGACCACUGUGGUAAUCAGAAAUGAUAGUCUAAGAAUGAGACUAUGAAGCUGCUGUUUCAGAGCGGACCAUUUCUGGAUAAUGCUGAAGUAAGGGUUCUGAUGAUGAAGAUGAAGUUUCUGAAGUACAUUGAUAUUGAACACUCCUAGUAUUGAAAACACCAAGCAAAUGACAGAUCAGGGUGUGGAACAGUUUAUCCACUGGAUUGUUGAAACAAUGUAUAUGGUAAUUGUCUCUGAGUGGUUGUCUCAGAGUAGAAAGGAAGACAAUGAAUGAAGUGCAAAAUUCUCUGCAGCAAACCAUGUACAAGAGCAGGAAGUUAGCAGAGGCUGCCUCCUGGCUUUCAUGGGCCUGGGCAUUAUUAUCUUCAUAAUCCCUUCCUCCAUUAAAAAUAAAUACAUAAAAAUUAUAGUUGACAGCUUCUUUGGUUUAAUGACAAACAUUUUCAAGACACAUCGAGACGUUUUCAAUCUAACGUUUCAUUCAUAUUUUCCUUCUGCUUUUAAUAGAAAUUACAACAUUUCUGUGGGCCUCUAAAAUUAUUGUGGGCCUAGUCGCCAUGUUUAAUAGAUAAGCUGGUGCUGAACGUAACAGAAGAAAUAUGAAUCAAAUGCAACAUCAAACUUAGAUUAUGAGACAAGACUGUGAAACAAAUUAUAACUAUAGUCCCUAUGUCGAAAUGUUAGUGGAAACAUAGGAGAUAUAGAAAGGACCUGAAUCAAACAUACAGUGUUAAAAUAUAUACUAGAUGUGAUACAGAUAUACUGUAGGUAUAAAUGAAUAGGACUUCAGGAAUGUUAGCCUAUCUUUUCCCUAAAAAGCAACAGUAAACUGGAAACAAUGUUCAAAAAACUACCCUACCUGAAAUCUAGAAGUUGCACAAAACCAUUCCUCAUACAAAGGAGAGGUAUUUACUUAAGGAAUACGGCUAGAAGCCUCCAGGUUUCUAUUGCACUUGGAAGGCUCUUUGAAAUCAGUACUCUGCCCCAACAACAGAUGUAAAACUGAACAGACUAAAAACUGACAACUCUUCUUUAAUUUGUAAGGGAGGGGAGGAAACAGAACCAACUACAGCCCUGCUGCCAGGAUGAAGAGAGAGGGAAUACAGGGAGUUGUGGUUUACCGGAGCACAGGCUCACCUCGGGGAUCAGCCUGGGUAUGCAGGGCCGGGAAACUGAAAUUAGACUGCCGGAUGCGCAGCAUGAGAGAUUAAAAACUCCAGGGGGACCUAGUAGCCCCUAGUAUUGUGAGGUUCAUCUUCAGGAACAUGACCAGGAGCUCAGAGAAUAUGGGAGAAAAAUCCCUUCAUGCUUCAGGUUAAGUGAGGGGGAAAGGAAUAGCAUUGAACCCUGCUUAGAACAAUGGGAUCUCAUGAUAUUUUAACAGGGGUCUGCUGCUCAUCAGCCACUGAGCAAAAUCGCUGGGCAGUUCCACCAGGGCUGUGCAGGCCAAGAGUACUUGCAGUUCUGCUGUUGAGGGGAUGAUCUGAUUGAGAGAAUAGGAAAAUCACCAUGCCCAGGGGAAUUUGUCAAAAAGAAUGGCAACCCCAGGGCAAUCAAUCAGGGAAAGGCAACAAACACUUCAGCUGUCUCAAGUUGUAAGGCCCAUCAGGUCAAGCAUUUGUAAAUGUAAAAACAUAUACUCAGACAAGCCAAAAAUAUAAUAGGGAAAUCUGGAUAAGGAGACACACCCAGUGGGCCUUGAUAAGCUCAGAGCUAUCCCUGGUGCUCUGGAAGUCUGAGCACAAUGUACAAGGCAGCAUACAGAUGCUUCAGAGAGACUGGAUCAACACGCAGCUUUGUAGGAGCAGAAAGUAAAAGCUUGGGUAGACUUCUAAACUGCCUGAAAUUUAAAUACGUUCCCCAAACCACACACAGAGCCAUCACAAAGAUUGGAAGUCUUACUGGCUCAAAGUUCUUAUGCACGACCUCUGACCAAUCUUCAGCCAGUCUCUAAAUUAUAAUUCUCUAGGAGCGAUCCUUAGGAAGCCAGACUUAAAAACAAAAACAAAGGAGUUCCCACUGCAGCUCAGUGGUAAACCCAAUUAGUAUCCAUGAGGAUGCGGGUUCCAUCCCAGGCCUUACUCAGUGGGUUAAAGGCUGCAGCUUUACCGUGAGCUGUGGUAUAGGUCACAGACCGCAAACGUGGCUGGGAUCCCAAGUUGCUGUGGCUGUGGUGUACGCUGGUAGCUGUAGCUCUGAUUCAACCCCUAGACUGGGAACUUCCAUACGCUGCUGGUGUUGCCCUAAAAUAUAAAUAAAUAAAUAAAUAAAAAUAAAAAUAAAAACAAGAAUUAAAAACAAGUAAACGAAAAGAACAAGCAGCAACAUCACUGGCCUCACUCUGCAGAAGAGAGAUACUAUUAGUCCACACAAGUCACUAAACAAAUUAACAGACAAGCAAACCAACAACAACCCUCAGUGGCAUCAUAAGCCAGAAUUGAUUCAACAUACCUAAACAUUGUUUUCACUUACAUCAACACCACCAAAAUUAUAAGACAGCCAAAAAGAAACAGGAAAGUGACCCAUACAGAUAGGAUAACAAAACCCAAUAAAACUGCUUCUGUGAGGGACCAGAUGUUGACAUUAGCAAGCAAAGACUUCAAAGGAACUAUUAUAAAAAUGUUCACAGAGUUAAAGUCAUGCUUAGAAAAUCAAAUUAAGUCAUGACAACAGAGACUCAACAAUUACAGAAUAUCAAUAAGAAUACAGAAAGUUUAAAAAGCACCAAAUAGAAAUCACAAUAGGUAUUAAAAUUACAAUAACAAAAAUGAAAAUAAUCACUAAAGGAGUUCAAAAGAAGACCUAUACUUGCAGAAGAGAUGAUUUGCAAACUUGGGUCUAUAUUAACAGAAAUACCCAAUGUAAAGAACAGAAAGAAAAAAGAAUAACAAAAAAUGAGCAGAGCUUUAGAAAUACAUGGGAGUAGCAGAAAGGUAAAAGAAAAAGGGGGGGAGAAGAAAAUAAUGGCUGAAAUAAUCCCCCAAUGUUUUUAAAGAUGGGAUGGCUGGUUUUAUAUGACCUACACUUCCUCAUCCUCUUGUUGCCACCAAACAUAAAACUAGAGUCAAUUCCAGUGUCAUCCAGAGAAAUGAGCUCCUAUUUCUGAACCCGCAGAGAGAGUGUAUGCACUCUAUUGCAUUCAGUAAAUUCAUAACAGCAGAAACGUGGAGAAUAGUUCAUGAAUGGGUUCUCAGAAGGUUAGCCACAGAAUAAUGCAAUGAAAUGUUAGAAUAGGUUGAAUUUAUUGUUUGGGGUAUAAUGAUUAAUGAUUGUGGACUUAAAAGACUAGCUUUGAUAGUUGGAGGUAACAAUUUGAAAAACUGACAGAAACUUUAUCUUAAAUUUUAUUGGCUUAGAUUCAAUUAGAUUGAAAUAUUAAAAGUAUCCUAGAAAAAUUGAAGAGGAAAACUCCCAAGGAUUUAGAAAGAUGGGAAUACUCAGUGUAUUUAUCAUGUUUUACUUGCAAAAUCACCUGCCUGAUACAUCCUCUAGCAGGUCAAGAGUAUAUUAACUUCACUAAGGCUUAAGCUGCUUUAAUGAGGACUGCAACAUCAUCCUCAUAAACUCCAUUGUGUUUGGUGUGUAGACUGUAAAUGAUGUUGAGAAAUGGCAUCACUGAGCUGGGGUAUAAUCAUAUCCAGAGCAACAGAUACCAAUUGUUAAUACUUAAUAAUAAGAGACAAAACAUUCAUAAAUACCAAAUAGGCAGCAAGAAUUAAGUAGCAAUAAUAAUAUUUGUUUGACACAAUCUUUGCAGUGGUCAAUUAAUGAUAGACUGUUAGAAAUAAAAUAUGAGGUCAAUAUACUAAAAUAUUACUUGGUACAGAUUAUAGAAAAAAAUUCAUGUUAAAGAGAAGAUUUAUUUGUAUUGUCACAAGAGAAAGUAAUAAACUCUUAAGAAAUUCCAAACUUUCUUUUCCAUAACCACAACAGGCAAAUGAGCCUCCCAACAUUCGCUCCUGGACCAAUGGCUUGAGAGCCAUUUUAUUUAUUUACCAUACAUUCUGGCCAAACUCUGUCUACACCUGCUGCUCAGAUGUACUUAUUGCACCCCUUUCACUCAGAAAAAAGUGUCUGGUUGUGCACAAUAAAUUAAAAUGUUCAUCCAAUGUAUUAUAGCAUGAAUAAUGCUGUAAAUUACUCUUAUCAAGAUAAUUAACCAAACUAAUAACAUAUAUCUUAGGGAAUUGCAAACAUUAGGGCCACAGUUACAGGCUUGGAAGAUAUAAAGAUCCCCACCACACCCCCAUUUACUUGGCGGUAUUUCUUAUGUAAAAGGCAGAUGAAUCAACAAUACAUUGUGGAAUAUAAUCAUCUUAAUCGGAUGGCAGAUUUCAUUGCAGAUUUUCUCCAGAUAUGUUAUCUCACAUGGAACAAAUGUUCGCUAGCAUUUGGUUUUCAGCUACUGAUCUGGCAAAUGCCUCUUCUCCUUUAUGCCAAUUUGCAUGCAUUACCAUGAACUGUUUGCUAUCAACCAACAGGGAUAAACAGUAAGAUUUCAAGAUCUUGCCUUAGGACCACUCCAGCUUUCCUACUGUUUUCCAUAAUCAGUCCAUUGCUUUUUGAUGUCUAAUCUGUGGAUUUAUUAGUCUGUAAUAACAUAAGUAAAAGCUUACUUUCAACAUAUGCACUUAUCUCAUUGUGGGAUAGUAACACAGAGUUUUCAAAUCAGCACUAGACAAUGGACCUUACUUUGAGUAUCACUGAUCAAGUUCACCAAGAGCUUAAUGUAAUCCAUGGAAAAUCACAGUGGUCAAUCAUGCUAACUGGACCUAAAACAAGAAAACAAACAAAGCAAAACAAAACCUAGUAAAUCUAUAACUGAACAGGACCCUCUAGGGCCUUCCCUGGACAGGCCCUAAGCUGAUAUCCUCUGCUUUAGCUCCUCUCUGAAGUAUAAUAUGUAUCUUGUCAGAGGUUUACAGUAACAGUGUGACUUGACCUCUGUGGACAGCUACAAGAACAAAGGAUUUAUAUACCAAGAAUUUUGCAACAACCAAUCCCACACUUCCCUCACCUUGACUUUAAAAAUACUUAGCAAUUUUUGAGUUGGGGAGUUUGGGGGAGUUUGAGAUAUUUGGGGGUGGGGGAGGCAUGAGCCACACAUCUCCUUGCAUGGCCCUGCCAUAAAUUUUCUCCACUCCAAACUUUGACAUUUCAGUUUGUUUAGCCUCACUAUGUCUCAGGCAUGCAGACUUGUGCUAACAUGUCUAUAAAAUGCAUAUGUCUUACCAAUGGCAUGCAUCUCAGAAAAUAGGAAAGAAGCCCAUUAACAAUAAGGGUCAUGAAUUCAAGACCCUGGUAAAAUUUCUGUCCAAAGGUCUUUAUAGGAUAGACAGUCUAAAACAAAAUACGAUUUGCUAUAUCUUGCACUGACAAU